rnacentral:tRNA from 1 species
GGGUGGUUAGCUCAGUUGGGAGAGCGCACGCUUGACGUGCGUGAGGUCGCAGGUUCAAGUCCUGCACCACCCA